GGGUAAACCUGCCUGGUAAGAACUGGGAAUAAACUCCCGGGAAACCCGGGGCUUAANUACCUGAAUAAACUUUUUUCCUUCGGCAUUNGAGGGGNAAAUUAAAAGGUGGGCNUUUAGCUACCACUUACAGAUGGACCCGCGGCGCAUUAGCUAGUUGGUGAGGUAACGGCUCACCAAGGCGACGAUGCGUAGCCGACUUGAGAGGGUGAUCGGCCACACUGGGACUGAGACACGGCCCAGACUCCUACGGGAGGCAGCAGUAGGGAAUCUUCCGCAAUGGACGAAAGUCUGACGGAGCAACGCCGCGUGAGUGAUGAAGGUUUUCGGAUCGUAAAACUCUGUUGUUAGGGAAGAACAAGUAUCGUUCGAAUAGGGCGGUACCUUGACGGUACCUAACCAGAAAGCCACGGCUAACUACGUGCCAGCAGCCGCGGUAAUACGUAGGUGGCAAGCGUUGUCCGGAAUUAUUGGGCGUAAAGCGCGCGCAGGCGGUUUCUUAAGUCUGAUGUGAAAGCCCACGGCUCAACCGUGGAGGGUCAUUGGAAACUGGGAGACUUGAGUGCAGAAGAGAAGAGCGGAAUUCCACGUGUAGCGGUGAAAUGCGUAGAGAUGUGGAGGAACACCAGUGGCGAAGGCGGCUCUUUGGUCUGUAACUGACGCUGAGGCGCGAAAGCGUGGGGAGCGAACAGGAUUAGAUACCCUGGUAGUCCACGCCGUAAACGAUGAGUGCUAAGUGUUAGAGGGUUUCCGCCCUUUAGUGCUGC
rnacentral:rRNA from 2 species